CCUACGUGUGGCAGCAGUGAGGAAUAUUGGUCAAUGGACGCAAGUCUGAACCAGCCAUGCCGCGUGCAGGAAGACGGCUCUCUGAGUUGUAAACUGCUUUUGUACGAGGGUAAACGCAGAUACGCGUAUCAGUCUGAACGUAUCGUACGAAUAAGGAUCGGCUAACUCCGCGCCAGCAGCCGCUGUAAUACGGAGGAUUCAAGCGUUAUCCGGAUUUAUUGGGUUUAAAGGGUGCGUAGGCGGGCGGAUAAGUUAGAGGUGAAAUCCCGAGGCUCAACUUCGGAAUUGCCUCGGAUACUGUUCGGCUAGAGAGUAGGUGCGGUAGGCGGAAUGUAUGGUGUAGCGGUGAAAUGCUUAGAGAUCAUACGGAACACCGAUUGCGAAGGCAGCUUACCAGGCUACUUCUGACGUUGAGGCACGAAAGCGUGGGGAGCAAACAGGAUUAGAUACCCUAGUAGUC
rnacentral:rRNA from 1 species